rnacentral:rRNA from 1 species
AGAGUUUGAUCCUGGCUCAGGGUGAACGCUGGCGGCGUGCUUAACACAUGCAAGUCGCGCGGGGAAACCCCUUCGGGGGGAGUACCAGCGGCGCACGGGUGAGUAACACGUGGGUAACCUACCCCUCAGCGGGGGAUAACCGGGGGAAUCUCCGGCUAAUACCCCAUAUUAUCCGGUGACGACAGUUGCUGGAUGAAAGGAGCGUUUGCUUCGUUGAGGGAUGGGCCCGCGGCCCAUCAGGUAGUUGGUGAGGUAAUGGCUCACCAAGCCUACGACGGGUAGCCGACCUGAGAGGGUGACCGGCCACAAGGGCACUGAGACACGGGCCCUACUCCUACGGGAGGCAGCAGUGGGGAAUUUUGGACAAUGGGCGAAAGCCUGAUCCAGCGACGCCGCGUGAGGGACGAAGCCCUUCGGGGUGUAAACCUCUGUUGUGAGGGACGAAUAAGAUCUGGAGGAAAUGCCAGAUCGAUGACGGUACCUCACGAGAAAGCCCCGGCUAACUACGUGCCAGCAGCCGCGGUAAUACGUAGGGGGCGAGCGUUACCCGGAUUCACUGGGCGUAAAGGGGGCGCAGGCGAUCCAGUAUGUCGGGUGUGAAGUCCCACAGCUCAACUGUGGAAUUGCGCCCGAAACUACUGGGUUUGGGGCUGGUAGAGGGAGACGGAACUGCUGGUGUAGGGGUGAAAUCCGUAGAUAUCAGCAGGAACGCCGGUGGGGAAGCCGGUCUCCUGGGCCAAGCCCGACGCUGAGGCCCGAAAGCUAGGGGAGCAAACCGGAUUAGAUACCCGGGUAGUCCUAGCCGUAAACGAUGCCCACUAGGUGUGGGGGAGUCAUUCCUCCGUGCUGUAGCUAACGCGUUAAGUGGGCCGCCUGGGGAGUACGCCCGCAAGGGUGAAACUCAAAGGAUUUGACGG